UCAAACUCAAAAGAUCCGCCUGC
rnacentral:piRNA from 1 species